rnacentral:rRNA from 1 species
AGUGAACGCUGGCGGCAGGCCUAACACAUGCAAGUCGAACGAGUGGCGGACGGGUGAGGAAUACAUCGGAAUCUACUCUGUCGUGGGGGAUAACGUAGGGAACCUUACGCUAAUACCGCAUACGAUUGAAUGAGACGAUGUCGGAUUAGCGAGUUGGUGGGGUAAAGGAGUACCAAGGCGAAGAUCCGUAACUGGUCUGAGAGGAGGAUCAGUCACACUGGGACGGGGACACGGUCCAGACUCCUACGGGAGGCAGCAGUGGGGAAUAUUGGACAAUGGGCGAAAGCCUGAUCCAGCCAUGCCGCGUGUGUGAAGAAGGUCUUCGGAUUGUAAAGCACUUUAAGUUGGGAGGCGUUACCAACAGAAUAAGCACCGGCUACCUUCGUGCCAGCAGCCGCGGUAAUUC